CCAAACGGCCACACUAAACCAAACGUGUUGCUCAAAAAGCUUCCUCUUUUCUGGUUUCUGGUCUAGCCAGUAACUGCCUGUUUUGGGGAGAACAAACUUUAAGAAAAUGUCAUCGGAUAAGGGGAAACGCUUGCCGGAAACUGAUGGUGGCGGUUUGAACUUCGAGGCUACCGAGUUGACUUUAGGUUGCCCGGGGAGUCUAGAGUAACGUCGGACGGUGGAGCUAAGGUGGGCAGUAAACGUGGGUUUUCCGUUGAUCUUAGCCUAGGUGACAACAAAGACACCAAUAAGUUGGAACAGUCCCAGAUUGAUGUCCGAGAAGCCAAUAAAUCUCCUGUGUCAAAGGCGCAAGUGGUGGGUUGGCCGCCGGUGAGGGUAUGCAAGGAGAGGGAAGAAGAGUUGCAAAUAUAUAAAGUGGCGGUGGACGGAGCUCCAUAUUUAAGGAAAGUUGAUAUCGAGAUGUACGAUAGUUACGGCAUUGACUUCCCUUGAAGACAUGUUCUCGUGUUUCAUAAGGAAUUGUUUGAAUGAUAAGAAACUGGACCAAGUGAAUGGAAUUGAGUAUGUGCCUACAUAUGAGGAUAAGGAUGGGGACUGGAUGCUGGUCGGAGAUGUACCAUGGCAAAUGUUGUUGAAUCUGUAACGUUUGAGGUUAAUGAAAGCUCGGAAGCAAUUGGAUUAGCUCCAAAAAGCCAAAGCUGAAUAAAAUAAGCCUUUUAAAUGAAGUAUCCAAGAACGGAACUACAAAUUUCUGUGCAGAGAGGCCUUUUGUUUUUGUUUCUAACUUGUGUACCUUGAUGAUGGUGGGCGAUGACUAGUUUUAGACGGUCGAGUUGAAAGAAUAAAUAAAUGAAAUAAGAUAAUUUAAUUUUUAUUUUUUUCUCCUUUUUUUUCUCUCUCUGUAUUCAUCAUUUUAACGAGUGGGUGAUAAUUCAGACUUAA